GUUUAUGAAUGGCGAGUUCUGUCAUAAAAAACAAAAGUCUUAUACAAAAAGCCUUAUACAAGUCAACGCCUACGGACUGCAACAGUCCCUUAGUUCCCAAUGUGACUAAAUCUUGUAUCGCCAAGCAAGAGAAAGCAAUUGAAGCAAUAUGACUUAGACCUCUGAUUCAAAUGAGGUGUCUGUGGAAGUAAAGUAGGCAGGAAGUGCGUACUGCUGUGUGCAGGUGCAGGACCAGGAGAAGCAGGCCCCCGCGUCUGAUUGGAAACCCGUCAUCAUCCGAAGAUACAGUCCUGUUCGCAGACUGUAUCACAAGAAGGUGCUAGGAUGGCCACAUCAUUUUGGAUAUUGUAACAAGUGAGUUUUCCUCUCUGACUCUGUUACAUGGAGACUGGGCUGCACAAGUGAAACAGGUGACCAUUGAACCUUAAAGGAGAAACAAACAUAGUGCCCUAGGGCCUAGGGCUGAUCUCAAUAUUCAUAAACCAGGACAGGACAAUCAUCUUCUCUUGACAGAUGAGGAAGAUGGGGUUCUAACAGGCUAAGGAAAACUGCCCACAGUCACAGAACAAAAAGUGGUGGAUUCCCAGUCCCUGAAGGUCCUAGGACAUGUGCCAAGUAAUUACUUGGUGGAGCCAUGGCAGAGGAAAUUCAAAGGUACCACGGACUGGAUUUCACAAGAAUCAAAGUCCUUCCCAACCCUGGGCAUCUCAGUACUUGUGGACUGUCCUUCCAGGCUUUGCCUCCACCUUUGUCACUAGGGUUGGGGUAUGUUUUGGAGGGAUGGAUAGAUGGAUGGGUGACAGGGGAUAGGAAGAAUGUACAAUGGCAAAGCAGUUACUUGGUCCAUUCAAAUUUGGUCUGCCAUUUUUAAAUUUUGCCUUUCCUACAUGCUCAUUUGCUUGCCCUAAACUCUGGGCACCUGGAGGCCUUUGCUGUAACUGUUUGUGAUCCUCAACAUAGUACCCCAUC